GGAGAUCCUGGAAAAGCUGCUGAGGAAAUACUGUGUUAAACUGUCCAGACAGCAACUGGUGAUGAUGGGAUAGACAUGGUGAAAAAGUAGAAUUACCGUUGAAGUGUAGCUGAAUACAUCAUCCUGGGAAUUUCACCACAGGGAAAAAGAUAAGGAAACUUAAAAAUGCAAGGCAGGAUG